GAAUCCAAUCCAUUUCCAAGGCCCAAAUCAGAAUGGCGGCUUUUCUGCCUACCAACUCGAUCUCUGACAUCUCCCGUCGAUGUCGAGCUACUCUUCCACUUGUCGGGUCAACCCGGUCCGAGCUUCAUCUUCCUUCGGGUCCUCCGCCCUCUCCCUCCGCCGCCAGUCUCACCUUCUACGGCCACUUCGGCCUCAGUUGUCCCGCCUUAUCACUAACUAUAAGCUCCCGAAGAUUCCGCCGAUACCUGAGCUCCCCGGCGGCAGUUAUGGUCCACGAGAAUCCGUUGGUCUCCGACAUCUGCGCCACCGCGCUCUCCGGUGGAAUAGCUCUCUCCAUUCUUCGGUUCUUCGAGGAGACUGCCAAGAGAGGUCUCUUUGAUCAGAAAUUGAAUAGGAAGCUUGUGCAUGUGAGCAUCGGGUUAGUUUUCAUGCUUUGCUGGCCAAUGUUCAGUUCUGGACGUCAAGGCGCAAUUUUAGCUGCUCUCAUUCCGGGAGUUAACAUAAUACGUGUGCUUCUUGUGGGACUGGGAAUCUACAAAGAUGAGGCCACAGUGAAGUCGAUGAGCAGAUUUGGAGAUUAUAGGGAAUUGCUCAAAGGGCCGCUGUAUUAUGCAACAACUAUUACUUUGGCCUGUGCUGUCUUCUGGAGAGCCUCCCCAGUUGGAAUUGCAGCAAUAUGCAACCUGUGUGCUGGAGAUGGCUUUGCUGACAUUGUUGGAAGAAGGUUUGGGCAUCAUAAAAUACCUUACAACAAGAGGAAAUCUUUAGCUGGCAGUGUUGCUAUGGCAUCUGCUGGAUUUUUAGCUUCUAUUGGGUACAUGUACUACUUUGCUUCAUUCGGGUAUAUGCAAGUUAGUUGGGAGAUGAUUUGGGGUUUCCUCUUUGUUUCGCUCGCCUCUGCACUUGUUGAAUCUCUUCCCCUGAGCACUGCGCUCGACGACAACCUCACAGUUCCUCUCACGUCCUUUAUAGUUGGAAGCCUUGUUUUCUAGGUGAGGAAUGUCUGUUUGUCUUAAGACUUUCAAAACGGAACCUAGGCUAGUAAUUUGAAGUAGAAAUUCUAUUUCAGCAAGAAUCGAUGCUCAUGUUGUAACUUGUAUGAAAUCAUGUGAUAAAUGUAAACUAUGGAUUGAAUUGAUUAGAAGAGAUGAUGCAAUAAGAGAAAAGUGGCGUCGAUUCUUAAAGUUUCCGUCCGCUACUUCAGUUGGCAGUUUUCAGCUGUUCUUAUUUCCUCGGCCUGAAUCUUAGAUGGAAUAGUUCGAUCCUAAUUCCCUGGCCACAAUUGAUUGCUGAUUAACAGAAAGUUGAAUCGAAUGUUCAUGCUCCUUAUAUUGAUCAUGCUGGGAUGGCCUACCUUACAUUGUUAAAGUUCAAGAGUGUAGCCCUUGUGUAUAUAUUGUAGUGGUGGGUACAUGCUGAUUUGUUAUGUUGCUGAAGGUUUCCAACAUUGUCGGACUGUUGAAGUUCUGUUAUCUCAAUGAAUAUCCAGUUACUGUAAUAAAUCGAAACAAAGGACAGCGGAACAGCAUCUUUUUAUUUUUAUUUUUUUAAGAGAUCGAAUUUUGUCAGGCACAUUAACAAAGAGAUGGUAAGAAAGGGGGAAAAAAAAAUAUUACUCAGUUGUAGGCUGUAGAUGAUAACAUGUGUCAUGCCUGAACAAUUCAUCAGCUAUAGAGAGGACUAGGGAGAAAGGAAAGAAAGAGGCUUGGUCAAUGAGGCUGAGCUCUCUAUGUAUCUUUACUUUACAGGUCCAUGGGGUGUCUGCAUUUGGAUUUAGAGUUGCUGUCACUGACUAGUCAGUACAUACCUUUUAUCAAAUAUACCAAACUGAGAUCCCACGUCGUGGAAGGAAAGCAGUGGCUGCUGUGCUGCAGUAUCUGGUCUCCGUGGGACUGGACUAAUGAACUCGUACCAGUUGAGGAAGCUCUGAACAUCUGGGGGAAUAAGGACUUCUUUUGCUAAUCCUUUGCAUCGUGUCAAUCAACCCUUCUCUGUAUCCUUCAUGAGAACAGGUGAUAGGUCCGGGACGGGCGAUUCGAUGUGGCCUGCAUCUGGCUUUCGUAUAUGUUUGAUACAGGGAAGCAGGACGAGGAAGAAGAGGAAAAGAGAGAAGCAGAGGAUGCACACGAGCAUCAAGAUCUCUCCAUGCAGAGCAUAGUGCCGAUCGGGCGAGAAUCGCAGCUUGUCUGGCGCCAGGGGGGUUUCCGGUGCUACCAUCGGGGACAAGGUUGAGCACCACAUGGCCUCGAGGAGAAGAACCAUUGGAGCGACCUCUUCCCGCUUCAAAUAAGUAGCACAGGAAAGACAAAAAAGAUGGAAUGGGGUCAAGAUGGCUGCUUUUCCCUGUUUCCAGUCUGCAGUUUCCUUCCUGAGAAGGGGAAGCGAACACUAUAUUGCAAGAAAGCUGCAAGUUGCAGAAGGUUGGACCAUUCCAGGAAAGUUCCAUGUAAUCAAUGUCCCUAGCCACCUUUUUUUUUUUUUUUUUUUUUGGGAGGGGGGUUUAGAAAUUUUAUAUACACGCGCACACACACGCAUAUAUAGAUAAUCUUGGUGACCAGUUAAGAAAGAUGCCCUUCCCCAGCUU